GAUUAACGCUGGCGGCGUGCAUAACACAUGCAAGUCGAACGAUGAAACUUAGAAGAAUCUUCGGAGGACUCUAAGUGGAUUAGUGGCGAACGGGUGAGUAACGCGUGAGUAACCUGCCUUACACAAGGGGAUAGCCUCUGGAAACGGAGAAUAAUACCCUAUAACACCAUAAAAGGACAUCCAGUUAUGGUCAAAGUGUUAGCGGUGUAAGAUGGACUUGCGUCUGAUUAGCUAGUUGGUAAGAUAAAAGCUUACCAAGGCAACGAUCAGUAGCCGGCUUGAGAGAGUGUACGGCCACAUUGGGACUGAGACACGGCCCAGACUCCUACGGGAGGCAGCAGUGGGGAAUUUUGCACAAUGGGGGAAACCCUGAUGCAGCGACGCCGCGUGAUUUAGAAGGCCUUCGGGUUGUAAAAAUCUUUUGUAUAGGAAGAAAAUGACAGUACUAUACGAAUAAGGUCCGGCUAAUUACGUGCCAGCCGCCGCCGUAACAC
rnacentral:rRNA from 1 species